GACGAACGCUGGCGGCGUGCUUAACACAUGCAAGUCGAACGGAAAGGCCCUGCUUUUGUGGGGUGCUCGAGUGGCGAACGGGUGAGUAACACGUGAGUAACCUGCCCUUGACUUUGUGAUAACUUCAGGAAACUGGGGCUAAUACCGGAUAGGAGCUCCUGCUGCAUGGUGGGGGUUGGAAAGUUUCGGCUGUUGGGGAUGGACUCGCGGCUUAUCAGCUUGUUGGUGGGGUAGUGGCUUACCAAGGCUUUGACGGGUAGCCGGCCUGAGAGGGUGACCGGCCACAUUGGGACUGAGAUACGGCCCAGACUCCUACGGGAGGCAGCAGUGGGGAAUAUUGCACAAUGGGCGGAAGCCUGAUGCAGCAACGCCGCGUGCGGGAUGACGGCCUUCGGGUUGUAAACCGCUUUCGCCUGUGACGAAGCGUGAGUGACGGUAAUGGGUAAAGAAGCACCGGCUAACUACGUG
rnacentral:rRNA from 1 species